rnacentral:rRNA from 1 species
UGAGGAAUAUUGGUCAAUGGGCGCAAGCCUGAACCAGCCAUCCCGCGUGCAGGAAGACGGCCCUAUGGGUUGUAAACUGCUUUUCCAGGGGGAGAAUUUUUCUGUCGUGACAGGAAUUGACGGUACACUGGGAAUAAGCAUCGGCUAACUCCGUGCCAGCAGCCGCGGUAAUACGGAGGAUGAGAGCGUUACCCGGAUUUAUUGGGUUUAAAGGGUGCGUAGGCGGAUUGAUAAGUCAGUGGUGAAAACCUGCAGCUUAACUGUAGACUUGCCGUUGAUACUGUCAGUCUUGAGUGUGGUCAAGGUAGGCGGAAUGUGUAAUGUAGCGGUGAAAUGCUUAGAUAUUACACAGAACACCGAUUGCGAAGGCAGCUUACUGGGCCAUUACUGACGCUGAUGCACGAAAGCGUGGGGAGCGAACAG